rnacentral:rRNA from 1 species
AACGGCCGUACCAUGCUGAAUAUACCGGUUCUCGUUAGAUCACCGAAGUCAAGCAUCAUUGGGCGUGGUCAGUACUUGGGUGGGUGACCACCUGGGAACACUGCUUGCCGU